ACCGGGGUUGCGGACAGUGUCUGGUGGGUAGUUUGACUGGGGCGGUCUCCUCCCAAAGAGUAACGGAGGAGCACGAAGGUUAGCUAAUCCUGGUCGGACAUCAGGAGGUUAGUGCAAUGGCAUAAGCUAGCUUGACUGCGAGCGUGACGGCGCGAGCAGGUGCGAAAGCAGGUCAUAGUGAUCCGGUGGUUCUGAAUGGAAGGGCCAUCGCUCAACGGAUAAAAGGUACUCCGGGGAUAACAGGCUGAUACCGCCCAAGAGUUCAUAUCGACGGCGGUGUUUGGCACCUCGAUGUCGGCUCAUCACAUCCUGGGGCUGAAGUAGGUCCCAAGGGUAUGGCUGUUCGCCAUUUAAAGUGGUACGCGAGCUGGGUUUAGAACGUCGUGAGACAGUUCGGUCCCUAUCUGCCGUGGGCGCUGGAGAAUUGAGGGGGGCUGCUCCUAGUACGAGAGGACCGGAGUGGACGCAUCACUGGUGUUCGGGUUGUCAUGCCAAUGGCAUUGCCCGGUAGCUAAAUGCGGAAGAGAUAAGUGCUGAAAGCAUCUAAGCACGAAACUUGC
rnacentral:rRNA from 1 species